CCGGAGUCAUUUCCCUGUGUGCUACUGGACCAGUCACAAGACAUCCUGGAGGAAGAGGCCCCGGGUGCUAGCCUGUGGCCCACCACAGUGACCUUCCUCACCCUCUUCCUACUGAGCCUGUUCUACAGUACAGCACUCACUAUUACAACCGUGCGUGGCCCAUUUGGCAGCAAAGAGGUCCCCCAGUACUGACCAGGAACCAGCCACGGGUGGCAGUCAUGGAGACGGCACGACACCUGGAGAAGGUCCUCUACACUUCAGAACUAAGGCCUGUGUGACGGCUUCCCGCCCCCACUCACACACUCUCCUGAACAAUAAAGCGAUGCCAAGAAAGCACAA